GUGGGGAAUAUUGGACAAUGGGCGAAAGCCUGAUCCAGCCAUGCCGCGUGUGUGAAGAAGGUCUUCGGAUUGUAAAGCACUUUAAGUUGGGAGGAAGGGCAGUAAGUUAAUACCUUGCUGUUUUGACGUUACCAACAGAAUAAGCACCGGCUAACUUCGUGCCAGCAGCCGCGGUAAUACGAAGGGUGCAAGCGUUAAUCGGAAUUACUGGGCGUAAAGCGCGCGUAGGUGGUUUUGUAAGUUAGGAGUGAAAGCCCAGGGCUCAACCUUGGAAUUGCUCUUAAAACUGCAAGGCUCGAAUCUCGGAGAGGAUAGCGGAAUUUCCAGUGUAGCAGUGAAAUGCGUAGAUAUUGGAAGGAACACCAGUGGCGUAAGCGGCUAUCUGGACGAGUAUUGACGCUGAGGCACGAAAGCGUGGGGAUCAAACAGGAUUAGAAACCCGGGUAGUCC
rnacentral:rRNA from 1 species